UACGGAGGAUGCAAGCGUUAUCCGGAUUUAUUAGGUUUAAAGGGUGCGUAGGCGGAAUAAUAAGUCAGUGGUGAAAUCCUACAGCUUAACUGUAGAACUGCCAUUGAUACUGUUGUUCUUGAGUACAGUUGAGGUAGGCGGAAUGUGUCGUGUAGCGGUGAAAUGCUUAGAUAUGACCCAGAACGCCGAUUGCGAAGGCAGCUUACUAAACUGUCACUGACGCUGAUGCACGAAAGCGUGGGUAGCGAACAGG
rnacentral:rRNA from 1 species